rnacentral:rRNA from 1 species
UACAGAGGUCUCAAGCGUUGUUCGGAUUCAUUGGGCAUAAAGGGUGCGUAGGCGGCGCGGUAAGUCGGGUGUGAAAUCUCGGAGCUUAACUCCGAACUGCAUUCGAUACUGCCGUGCUUGAGGACUGGAGAGGAGACUGGAAUUUACGGUGUAGCGGUGAAAUGCGUAGAUAUCGUAAGGAAGACCAGUGGCGAAGGCGGGUCUCUGGACAGUUCCUGACGCUGAGGCACGAAGGUCAGGGGAGCAAACGGG